UCUAUUGACAACUUAUAAUUUACGUCGAAUUUUUAUCGGAGUUUCCAUUGCAAGGGAGAUGAAAGUAUGUCCUACAUUUAUGUCACGGACCAGUAUUUUGUAAUAGAUUUCGGACAAAUCUGACUAAAUGUAUUUCGAAACUCUCGAUAAGAAGUGGUUUUCCUGAGACAUCGUUCUUACCACAGCUGGAAUUUUAUCAUUAAAUCACAUAGGUGGCGCCUUUAGUGGCUAUAUAAUAUAAGAAGGACUUAUUUACAGACCAUUUACUACAGAAGGAAUUUUAGAUAUAUACUUAGGAUGAAAGUGAUCAUAUUUUUAGGUUUAGUUGGGUCCAUUUAUGGAUUUAAUUUGGGGGGAAUCAUUGCAGGAGGUGUAGGUCAUGUUGAUUCCAACGACGCAGGACUCAUGGGAGCUGUCAACGACGCUAGUAAAAGCGUUAAUAUGAUGUCAAACAAUAUGAUGCAUCUGACCACAGUUCAUGUCUCUCAUGCAACUAAACAGGUUAUUAGAGGAUUGAAAUAUACAUUCGACGUGUCAUUCAAAGAAGCAAGCGCAUGUAAAAACACACAAGAACAUUAUUACGCUACAUUAACAGAAUGCCCACCUGCUGACGGUGUCCAAACAAUGCAUUUCCAUUGUUCGGUUAUAGAUGUUGCCUGGGAAACACCUAGGUAUACCACAACAUGUACCAUGAAAUAAAGAACAAAUGGAAGAAGACGCCAAAUCAUGGAAUAAACAUUUACCUUUGUUUUAUAUAUGAAUGAAAAUAUAUAUUUACGAUCAAGUAUUAUACAUUUUAAAGUACAACAGUCUAAAAACGUUGAAGAAAAUACAAAUAAAUAAAUUUAUGUUAUUGUUCUUGAA